GGAAAGGCGCGCGAUACAGGGUGACAGCCCCGUACACAAAAAUGCACAUGCUGUGAGCUCGAUGAGUAGGGCGGGACACGUGGUAUCCUGUCUGAAUAUGGGGGGACCAUCCUCCAAGGCUAAAUACUCCUGACUGACCGAUAGUGAACCAGUACCGUGAGGGAAAGGCGAAAAGAACCCCGGCGAGGGGAGUGAAAAAGAACCUGAAACCGUGUACGUACAAGCAGUGGGAGCACGCUUAGGCGUGUGACUGCGUACCUUUUGUAUAAUGGGUCAGCGACUUAUAUUCUGUAGCAAGGUUAACCGAAUAGGGGAGCCGAAGGGAAACCGAGUCUUAACUGGGCGUUAAGUUGCAGGGUAUAGACCCGAAACCCGGUGAUCUAGCCAUGGGCAGGUUGAAGGUUGGGUAACACUAACUGGAGGACCGAACCGACUAAUGUUGAAAAAUUAGCGGAUGACUUGUGGCUGGGGGUGAAAGGCCAAUCAAACCGGGAGAUAGCUGGUUCUCCCCGAAAGCUAUUUAGGUAGCGCCUCGUGAAUUCAUCUCCGGGGGUAGAGCACUGUUUCGGCAAGGGGGUCAUCCCGACUUACCAACCCGAUGCAAACUGCGAAUACCGGAGAAUGUUAUCACGGGAGACACACGGCGGGUGCUAACGUCCGUCGUGAAGAGGGAAACAACCCAGACCGCCAGCUAAGGUCCCAAAGUCAUGGUUAAGUGGGAAACGAUGUGGGAAGGCCCAGACAGCCAGGAUGUUGGCUUAGAAGCAGCCAUCAUUUAAAGAAAGCGUAAUAGCUCACUGGUCGAGUCGGCCUGCGCGGAAGAUGUAACGGGGCUAAACCAUGCACCGAAGCUGCGGCAGCGACGCUGAUGCGUUGUUGGGUAGGGGAGCGUUCUGUAAGCCUGCGAAGGUGUGCUGUGAGGCAUGCUGGAGGUAUCAGAAGUGCGAAUGCUGACAUAAGUAACGAUAAAGCGGGUGAAAAGCCCGCUCGCCGGAAGACCAAGGGUUCCUGUCCAACGUUAAUCGGGGCAGGGUGAGUCGACCCCUAAGGCGAGGCCGAAAGGCGUAGUCGAUGGGAAACAGGUUAAUAUUCCUGUACUUG
rnacentral:rRNA from 1 species